rnacentral:lncRNA from 1 species
UUUGUACUACUGUCAGACACCAGGAACCAGCAAAGGAGAAGAUGCCCAAAGCCUUGGCAUGGAAGAGAGGUGGGACGCCCAACAAAGGGAAGGUGUGGGAUGUCCCAAAGAGAGAAGAGAAAGGGAGAGGAAGAGAGGGCAUGGGAGUCUCCAAAGGUGGGCGUGGGCUGCUAGUUGGAUGCUCUAGAGAUCUUAGGGGAGGUUUCUUUAAAUAGGCAUAAGGAUUGAAUCCUCUUCAAUCUCAUAAUACAAGUUCUACUUGCAUUGGAUUUCCUAAUAACUUAAGUUAUCCAACUUAUUUUAGAAGACCCUUUAGGCACCAACAAUUGGAGCCCUUUCACUUAUUAUUUUUUACCUUAAAACACACUCAAGGGACACCCCAUAUAAGAUCAAAAGGCCCUCUAAUCAUAGGACACACCC